AGAAUUAUAAUCUCAGUGUGCUACUGGUUUUAUAGGUAGGGAGGAGGUGAGAGGCAGCCAUUUAGUCCACACAUUCAGUGAUCAAAGUGUGAUUCCUGUGUAGACACUGGAAUCCUGCCUGGCACAGGAGUGGAAGAGCUCCUGGGAUAUCCACUUUUUAACCUCUGCAGAGGUCACAUGGAAUCUGAUUCGACCUUGAGCAGGUUAAAAGGGUAAUAUUGAUCACCCUCUAAGAAAAGCAAUCAGGACAAACUGACUGUAAUGGUGGCACCAGGGAAGCAUGGCGACCCCUCCUGCAGAAGCGACCCCAGCUGCACAAAACUGAGCUGCUACAGCAACUGUUUCUUAAAGAGCAUGGAAUGGAGAAAAAAAACUAUAAAUCCAAGAAGAGCAGAUGCUUGAGCUCAGGACACCUCUACACCUACAAGAAAAAGAAAGCAGGAAAUGGAAACAGUGAGAUAGGACUACAGAGACAGAGCUUAUGGGAAGGAUGCUAACACCACCACUGCUCAGAGAAUGAGACACAAAACACAUGGAGAAGCCACCACUGGGCCCCAGGAGCCACUAGGUCUACUCUCCUAGAUAUACACAGAACAUGUACACAGUGUUCCUAGCAGCUUCUCUUAUAAGAACACCAACUGGCCACAGCCCCAGUGUCCCCAAUAAUUGGUCACUUGGUUGAGCCAAACAAUGGAACAUUGUGCAAUAAUGAAGAAUAAACAAACUGCACACAAGUCAUAAUGCUGAAUAAA